GAUGAACGCUGGCGGCGUGCUUAACACAUGCAAGUCGAACGAAGCACUUUUACAGAUUUCUUCGGAUUGAAGUGAUAGUGACUGAGUGGCGGACGGGUGAGUAACGCGUGGGUAACCUGCCUCACACAGGGGGAUAACAGUCGGAAACGGGUGCUAAUACCGCAUAAGCGCACAGUACCGCAUGGUACGGUGUGAAAGACUCCGGUGGGGUGAGAUGGAACCGCGUGUGAUUAGCUAGUUGGCAGGGUAACGGCCUACCAAGGGGACGAUCAGUAGCCGACCUGAGAGGGUGACCGGCCACAUUGGGACUGAGACACGGCCCAAACUCCUACGGGAGGCAGCAGUGGGGAAUAUUGCACAAUGGGGGAAACCCUGAUGCAGCGACGCCGCGUGAGCGAGGAAGUAUUUCGGUAUGUAAAGCUCUAUCAGCAGGGAAGAAGAAAUGACGGUACCUGACUAAGAAGCACCGGCUAAAUACGUGCCAGCAGCCGCAGUAA
rnacentral:rRNA from 1 species